GGAAUAAAUGCCUCUAUUUUAGGAAUACUUCGUCAAGCUUUAGUAGGCAAUUUAAAUGCAAAGUAAUACUCUUUUUUUUAUAAAGAACUAUUCUUAAAAAAUAACCACCCCCGAUUGUCAUUCAUAAACGCCAUUCAAGCUGCUGGCAUAAAUGUUUUCAAUUUGAAUUUGUCGCUGUACAGUCAAUUGGCUUUAUUUCCAGUUGAAUCGCUCUCCAUGUACCCCGGGCCAUCGAGACGACUCCCAGAAGCGGCAUCAUCGAUGACAACUGCACACAAGGCGAAGCCACAUGGAACUGGAAACCGAUCAACGUUCGAAUGAGCAAAAACAAUGAACGAGCAGCAGAGGAGUGAAAAGUGCACCACAUAAAGGAAAAAGUUGAGCGACAUCGAAAAAAAAGCUGGAACAAAUUACCAAUUCUAAGUUCGGGGGUGGAAAAGUGCCCUGUGAAAGUGUUCAAGAUACGCAAUCGGUUAGUGACAGUGUGCUAAAUAAUGUUUAGAGGGGUCUGAAAUACUUUUAAUUUAUACUAGUUUGGAGAUUUGUAUAUCUUUUACAAAAAUAACCAUACACAAAAUGUUAAUUUGAAUAGUUUACCUUAAUCUGUA